GACAGAGGGUGCAAACGUUGUUCGGAAUUACUGGGCGUAAAGCGCGUGUAGGCUGCUUUGCAAGUCGGAUGUGGAAGCCCCGGGCUCAACCUGGGAAGUGCACUCGAAACUGCAGAGCUCGAGUCCUGGAGAGGAAGGCGGAAUUCUCGGUGUAGAGGUGAAAUUCGUAGAUAUCGAGAGGAACACCGGUGGCGAAGGCGGCCUUCUGGACAGUGACUGACGCUGAGACGCGAAAGCGUGGGGAGCAAACAGG
rnacentral:rRNA from 1 species